CAAUGGAGUGAUGGAGGAGAGAAGCUACAGAAUGGAGACGGAGGAGGUGGAGGAGGAGAUCGGUCCGCCAUUAACAGCAUGAUGUCAGUGAUGAUGUCGGCAGCACGGACCAUCAAUGGCAAAGGAGAGUGUGGUGUCAUCUCAGCUAACUCUUCUGUUGGGCCCUUCCCGAGUCCCUACCGCACCGCUCACACCGGCUACGAGAGCCCCGCCCAGCCGCAACACACGCAAUCAGGUACCUGCCACUUGAACCCAGGGCUGUGGUGGUGGCAGCUUCAACAGCAGUAUCAGACCCGCUGACAGGACAACCUCCCGUUGGACAGGACAGGUCAUUCUUUGGCCAGGAGAGGCAACAGCCUAAGAGCAGAUGGUGUUAGAUAAGGAGACAACGUGGGCCACCAACGGUGCCGUUUUGAAGUCUUGGGUGCCCGCCCUAGAGAGAAUAGAGGACAAUUCAGUCAUCGGGUCCAUCAUGGAGUGGCCGGGCUUUAAAAGAUUUUAGAGAGGAGAAAGAUUAGUGCAUAUUUUGUUUGGGAUUCAAUCAUCUUUUGAGAGUGAAUGUGCAUAUAAAGACUAACUCUUUACUGUCUGUCUUUCUAUCAUGGGACAAUCGGAGUACCUGUUUUACUUCGAGGGACACGCCGGCAGGGGUUUGUGCCUGUGAGCUUACGUCCAAGUCUCUACAACCUUCAGGAAAAAAAGACAUUGGCUCAGCUACUACCCCAUGAGUGGUUUCCAUUCCUGUAUCCUUACCCAACCCCUGAACUUGCACAGUCCAUUAUUGCUAAAUUUAAUGUAAGUUUUUCAUCCAUCUCUGAAUGUGUUUAUAUAAUAUGCUGUAACAUAUUAUACUGUACUAUAACUUUUUUAUUUUUUCGUCAUACUAUAUACUGUGACUUAUUUUUCAACAUGCUAUACUAUGACUAUUUUUUGACAUACUAUAUGUUAUUUUUUUCUUAGCAUACUAUGAUUUAUUUUCAUGCCGUUUUUAAUUUUUCAACAUACAUGUGCUUUUUUUUACUAUGAAUUAUUUUGAUUUGUUUAUGUGCAUUUAAGUUAUAAAAAGCACAAAUAGAAUUAAUAAAUACAAUUUAGUAAAACACAGUUUGCUUAAUUGUUUUAAAUGGGUUUUGUAUUUCCUAUUUAUGUACAGAAUAUUAAUAAAAGGCCCGGAAAUUUCUGCAUGCUCUCUUUAAUAACGUAUGUUGUAGGUUACUCCCGUGAAUACUUGCUACAUAUAUAC